GAGUCCAACUCCCGCCCCACUCGCCUAUUGGACAAUCUCAAAGCAACGCCGCCACGGUCUCAACUUCCCCCGCCUCUGACUGGCUGAUGGAAAUGCCAAUCAAGCGGACGAGUGGGUCUGCCAGUCCACACACGCCCCACCCUCCUCUGCAUGGGCGGGGCUUGUUUGAUCGGCGGAUUCGCGUGGAAGGCGAGAGGGAGUGAGACGGCACAAGGCAGUGUGCGGGGAGGACAUGGUUAAAGACACGUCCAGUGGAUUCUCAGUACCCACAAAAACACCGGGAUCAAAAGACGCCUAUUUUUUUUUUUUUAUUGCUCAGCUAUUCACGGAUUGUUCAUUGCCGGUGUGGAUUAUAAAAAAAACAAACACCUUUUUUUUCCAAUGAAAAAUAAAAUAAAAGCCUGACCGGUUCGGUAAUGCGGAGCGCAGAUAGCCAGACGCUCGUUGGAUUUCUGUGUACAUAUUUUUUUAAGAAACAGAAAAUGUACGGUUAAUCUUGCAGUUUAAAAGUGUGUUGGAUUUGGCGUCGAAAACAAUAAAACUUAAAACAUUGCGAGGCGAAAUGUUGGCUUUAUUUACAGGACAAAAUGGCGCCGGCGGGAGCCCGCCCCACCUAAGGUGGAGCCCGGGUGCUGCUCGCUGCUCAACCACUCGCGGUUCUUUUGUCCGGCCUGCGAAAUGGCUUCCUGUACACCAGCUGCAGUGCCAAAGUGCAAACGAUUUUGCUUUUGAAGCAGUAUAUUUAGUUGAUAUGUCGAAAUUCCCAUGAGUUGGCCCAGUUUUCACGAGGAAUCAUUUGUUUUGAAGAAAAUUGGUCUUACUUGCCCAUGAUCAGAAAGGCUCGUUAUCUCCACUGAUGUAUUUCACAACAGGAGGAAUAUUCCAAUGUUAAAUUCCAUUUCCAGUAAUAAUAAAAUAUUAGGUGCAGGGGAAGCAUCAUAAAGACUUUACAUAUUUUAUUUAAUAUUACAGCAAGCUUGUAUAAGGGAGCUGAUUCAAGUGUGAACAUCUUAAAGUCAAAUGUUUUGUUGUAUUCUAGGGCCUUUUAAAAUCCCAGCUGAUGUUAAACAUCCACAAAUGAUGAACUAAUCUUUGUCCAACACAUCUUACACCAGUCUACAUCUUGUGUGUACCCCUGUGUCAUGCCCAUCUGAUUGAGCCUUUUGAAACAUGAAUGUUGUUUGGAAAAAUUAUAAUCUUAGAUGCUGGGCACUCCCUGAUGAUGUGAGUGUUUUGUAAUGUACUAGGCAUUCUUUUUCCUAAUGGAAGCAUUGUGUAAUUUUCGAGCAAGUAGUUUAAGGAUUGGAUACAGAUUUAAAUAUAUUAAAACCUAAAUCUAUAGUGACAA